AGGAGCUUGCUCCUCUGAUCAGUGGCGAACGGGUGAGUAACACGUGAGCAACCUGCCCCAGACUCUGGGAUAACAGUUGGAAACAGCUGCUAAUACCGGAUACGAGACGGAGAGGCAUCUCUACCGUCUGGAAAGUUUUUCGGUCUGGGAUGGACUCGCGGCCUAUCAGCUAGUUGGUGAGGUAAUGGCUCACCAAGGCGACGACGGGUAGCCGGCCUGAGAGGGCGACCGGCCACACUGGGACUGAGACACGGCCCAGACUCUUACGGGAGGCAGCAGUGGGGAAUAUUGCACAAUGGGCGAAAGCCUGAUGCAGCGACGCCGCGUGAGGGAUGACGGCCUUCGGGUUGUAAACCUCUUUCAGCAGGGAAGAAGCGAAAGUGACGGUACCUGCAGAAGAAGCACCGGCUAACUACGUGCCAGCAGCCGCGGUAAUACGUAGGGUGCGAGCGUUGUCCGGAAUUAUUGGGCGUAAAGAGCUUGUAGGCGGUUUGUCGCGUCUGCAGUGAAAAUCCCGAGGCUCAACCUCGGACUUGCUGUGGGUACGGGCAGACUAGAGUAUGGUAGGGGAGACCGAAAUUCCUGGUGUAGCGGUGGAAUGCGCAGAUAUCAGGAGGAACACCGAUGGCGAAGGCAGGUCUCUGGGCCAUAACUGACGCUGAGAAGCGAAAGCAUGGGGAGCGAACAGGA
rnacentral:rRNA from 1 species